UCCGCAUUGGUCUAGUGGCUAGGAUUUCACGCUCUCACCGUGACGGCCGGGGUUCGAUUCCCCGAUGCGGAA
rfam:Microsporidia sp. TGP3 contig-81, whole genome shotgun sequence.